GUAUGUGUCCUUUAGAAGAGAUUGAAGUGAGAGAAUUAAAAUAUGAGAACUAGGAACAAAAAAUAUUUGAAAAUAUAGAAAUUUUAUUAGGGUAACAAAUCAACAUAUGCAGAGCCAGAUCACUAAUGAACUUUUUAUUCUCUAACAAACUGCAUUUGUAAAUAAGCAUAUUUAACUGCAGAUUUGCCUUACAACAAGAAGAGGAGAAGAAUAGAAAUGUUGAUCAGUUUUAUGAAAAAAUUAAAGAACAGUUAAGGAAAAAAAGAACAAUAUUAUCAAGAAGUUGAAGCAAAACAGCAACUUGAAAUUUCUCUUUGAACACUAGAUAUUGAACUGAAGACUGUAAGAAAUAAAUUGAAUCAGGUUACCUUGCAUUGGAGCCAGCUAGCUGUUAACUGAAACCUCUACAAACUGUGAGCUAAAAUAAACUUUUUUUCUAUUUUUGAGUGUUGAGUAUUUUGUCUUGGCAAUGAGAAAAUUAGCUAAUAUCCAAAGGAAAUGAAACCCAGUAAGUCAAAAUUAUAUUUGCACUACCAUGAUUAAUGAUCUACUGUUCCUAAUAGCAAAAAAAAAAAAAAAAAAGA